rnacentral:rRNA from 1 species
UGCAGUCGAGCGGUAAGGCCUUUCGGGGUACACGAGCGGCGAACGGGUGAGUAACACGUGGGUGAUCUGCCCUGCACUUCGGGAUAAGCCUGGGAAACUGGGUCUAAUACCGGAUAUGACCUCCUGUCGCAUGGUGGGUGGUGGAAAGAUUUAUCGGUGCAGGAUGGGCCCGCGGCCUAUCAGCUUGUUGGUGGGGUAAUGGCCUACCAAGGCGACGACGGGUAGCCGACCUGAGAGGGUGACCGGCCACACUGGGACUGAGACACGGCCCAGACUCCUACGGGAGGCAGCAGUGGGGAAUAUUGCACAAUGGGCGAAAGCCUGAUGCAGCGACGCCGCGUGAGGGAUGACGGCCUUCGGGUUGUAAACCUCUUUCAGCAGGGACGAAGCGCAAGUGACGGUACCUGCAGAAGAAGCACCGGCUAACUACGUGCCAGCAGCCGCGGUAAUACGUAGGGUGCAAGCGUUGUCCGGAAUUACUGGGCGUAAAGAGUUCGUAGGCGGUUUGUCGCGUCGUUUGUGAAAACCAGCAGCUCAACUGCUGGCUUGCAGGCGAUACGGGCAGACUUGAGUACUGCAGGGGAGACUGGAAUUCCUGGUGUAGCGGUGAAAUGCGCAGAUAUCAGGAGGAACACCGGUGGCGAAGGCGGGUCUCUGGGCAGUAACUGACGCUGAGGAACGAAAGCGUGGGUAGCGAACAGGAUUAGAUACCCUGGUAGUCCACGCCGUAAACGGUGGGCGCUAGGUGUGGGUUCCUUCCACGGAAUCCGUGCCGUAGCUAACGCAUUAAGCGCCCCGCCUGGGGAGUACGGCCGCAAGGCUAAAACUCAA